GGAUGUGAGGGCGAUCUGGCUGCGACAUCUGUCACCCCAUUGAUCGCCAGGGUUGAUUCGGCUGAUCUGGCUGGCUAGGCGGGUGUCCCCCUCCUCCCUCACCGAUCCAUAACCUUCCCCCCCAAGGAGAGGACCAGUCUUCAGUCAAGGGUAUACGAGUAGCUGCGCUCCCCUGCUAGAACCUCCAAACAAGCUCUCAAGAAUACUGUCUCUCAAUACAGUCCUAACCGCAAGGAGCAUGAUCACGCAUAGAUACCAUAUCUUUCUUGAUGUGAUCAAAUGAG
rnacentral:snRNA from 1 species